ensembl:lncRNA
GAGAGAGAGAGAGAGAGAGAGAGAGAGAGAGAGAGAGAGAGAGAGAGAGAGAGAGAGGGCGAGGGUUGCAUCAGAGGGCAGCUUCCCUCUGAGAUAAUGGAGAAGUCAGCAGAGGAACCUCGCAAACAGGAACAACCAGUUAGGACAAUAAGAACAGUCUGCCCUCUUUAACCCAAUACCCCCGAAACAAGCUUCUGCCUGGAAUAAGGACGUAAGAGGACGUAACACGGGAACAGUACCAAGUGGGGUAGAAUUUCACAUACGUCCACAUCUUGAGAAUUGGCCAACCCUCACGUGACUCAAGAUAUGCAAAACUAAAUUGCGCAUGCGGUUUCAAUUAUGACAUGCCUACUGUAAUAAAAAAAAAUGCCAAUACAUGGUAUGAAUAACUGCUUUAUUGGAUGGGUGGGUGGGUGCAAAGCAGGGAGCUGUCCGUAGUGCUGCAAUCAAGAAAGGGUGCGCCACGCGCCACGCGCCGCGCGGCGAUAGGCUAUCGUAUCCAUUACGCAGAUUAAUACUCGGAUCCCUGGCCAAAAACCCACUGAGCGUGAAAGAAGACGCCGAGGCUUUUCCCCUUUGAUGUUACCUCGACCAUAGGUCUCUCCAGUGAAGUCUCUCUAAUUAACCAACAAAAGCGUUUUUUUGCCUAUUCUGGUUUUAUUGAAUAAAUUUGGUGGGCGUCAGAGAAACGUGAUACCUGCUUACUCUCUGCAGAGACCAGCCUCCAUACAAAUCGAGGAUUCAACCCCCAAUCCCCAUAUCUUCCAAAGACCGAGGCGUCGAGCUAGUCUGUAUUCGACUUUGUCACUGAUUACGUCAAAAGAUUGUUGGGAUUUCGUCAGUUGAUGAUAAUUAGGGAUUCAUUAAGGUCCAAAGGGGGAAUGCAGUUUGACAUGCACAAUGGUUUCAAAAUACGUGAUAUGCAAACAAAAUGAUGCUCAAACGGAUGAUUGAAAAUAUCAUUGGAUGAUGUCAUAAGAAUAGGCUGCGGAAGCUGAAGACAAUGAACACGCCGACUGUGCUGCUAUUGAGGCUAGGGUCUCCAUCCCCCAUUUUAGUGCCCCCCCUGCCAUCUCUUAUCAGCUCUGGAUUUUCUCUCACCGGCUUUUCAAGAACUCGCAGUUUCACUGGAUAGCCGUGGGCUAUAUUUUUGGUCGCUUUUACGACAUUUCUUAUUCUUCACUUCAACAAACAGUUUUUCAAUUUGUCGAGGAAAUCAUAUUGAAAGGAAUUAUUUGCACACAAAAUCCACCAUAGAGCUCCCUCGAAUAGCCUAUCUCUUUACACCAUGCCAAAAAUGCCAUAGCCUAAUUUUGCAAAAUAAAUCACCACUUUUGAGAGAUAAGAAAGAGAGAGGGAAUAUAGAGAGAACGAGGGAGAGAGAUAUACGGAGAGAGAGGGCGAGAGUCGGGGGAGAGAGGAGAAAGAAAGACAGAGAGAGAGAGAGAACAAUGCAAGGGCACCAUAUUCAGAUAAUAAAAUCAUGAGGACAUGAGGAACCUGGGUUCUCCGCGUGACUCUACACACGCCUCAGAACUCUCUGUCUGAACUAGGCCACAGCAACACAGAACAGGAAGGGGCACAUUCCCAUUCGUGC